rnacentral:rRNA from 1 species
AACGAACGCUGGCGGCAUGCCUAACACAUGCAAGUCGAACGAAGCCUUCGGGCUUAGUGGCGCACGGGUGCGUAACACGUGGGAAUCUGCCCUUCGGUUCGGAAUAACAGUUAGAAAUGACUGCUAAUACCGGAUGAUGACGAAAGUCCAAAGAUUUAUCGCCGAAGGAUGAGCCCGCGUAGGAUUAGGUAGUUGGUAGGGUAAUGGCCUACCAAGCCGACGAUCCUUAGCUGGUCUGAGAGGAUGAUCAGCCACACUGGGACUGAGACACGGCCCAGACUCCUACGGGAGGCAGCAGUGGGGAAUAUUGGACAAUGGGCGAAAGCCUGAUCCAGCAAUGCCGCGUGAGUGAUGAAGGCCUUAGGGUGUAAAGCUCUUUACCAGGGAUGAUAAUGACAGUACCUGGAGAAU